rnacentral:rRNA from 1 species
CCUACGGGCGGCUGCAGUGGGGAAUAUUGGACAAUGGGGGCAACCCUGAUCCAGCCAUGCCGCGUGUGUGAAGAAGGCCCUCGGGUUGUAAAGCACUUUCAGUGAGGAAGAACGCCUGGUGGUUAAUACCCAUCAGGAAAGACAUCACUCACAGAAGAAGCACCGGCUAACUCCGUGUCAGCAGCCGCGGUAAUACGGAGGGUGCGAGCGUUAAUCGGAAUUACUGGGCGUAAAGCGCGCGUAGGUGGCUUGAUAAGCCGGUUGUGAAAGCCCCGGGCUCAACCUGGGAACGGCAUCCGGAACUGUCAAGCUAGAGUGCAGGAGAGGAAGGUAGAAUUCCCGGUGUAGCGGUGAAAUGCGUAGAGAUCGGGAGGAAUACCAGUGGCGAAGGCGGCCUUCUGGACUGACACUGACACUGAGGUGCGAAAGCGUGGGUAGCAAACAGGAUUAGAUACCCUUGUAGUC